UGCCCAGCAAUCCCUACCUCCUCGCGGUACUGGCUGGGGUACGAGUAACCUUAGGGAAGAUCGGGUAACCAACCCCCGGUGGGAACUUUGGUCGUAUGCUGACAGGGAAGG
rnacentral:ribozyme from 1 species